UACGUAGGAGGCAAGCGUUGUUCGGAAUUACUGGGCGUAAAGGGCUCGUAGGUGGCCAACUAAGUCAGACGUGAAAUCCCUCGGCUUAACCGGGGAACUGCGUCUGAUACUGGAUGGCUUGAGUGUGGGAGAGGGAUGCGGAAUUCCAGGUGUAGCGGUGAAAUGCGUAGAUAUCUGGAGGAACACCGGUGGCGAAGGCGGCAUCCUGGACCAUGACUGACGCUGAUGAGCGAAAGCCAGGGGAGCAAACGGG
rnacentral:rRNA from 1 species